ACAUGAUUAUAGCAUAGCAUUAAUGCACUGGAUCCCAUUAGAACUUUGUAGUUAAGCGCGCUCAUGCUAGAGUAGUAUUGGGAUGGGUGACCACCCAUGAAUUCCUAGUGUUUUACAUGCC
rnacentral:rRNA from 1 species